AUAGCGUAUAUUAAAGUUGUUGCAGUUAAAAAGCUCGUAGUUGGAUUUCUGGCAGGAGCGACCGGUCGCGCACUCUGUGCGUGAACUUGGCUGUCUCUGGCCAUCCUUGGGGAGAUCCUGUUUGGCAUUAAGUUGUCGGGCAGGGGAUACCCAUCGUUUACUGUGAAAAAAUUAGAGUGUUUAAAGCAGGCUUAUGCCGUUGAAUAUAUUAGCAUGGAAUAAUAAGAUAGGACUUCGGAACUAUUUUGUUGGUUUGCGUUACGAAGUAAUGAUUAAUAGGGACAGUUGGGGGUAUUCGUAUUCCGUUGUCAGAGGUGAAAUUCUUGGAUUUCCGGAAGACGAACUACUGCGAAAGCAUUUACCAAGGAUGUUUUC
rnacentral:rRNA from 1 species